rnacentral:lncRNA from 1 species
GAACCGGUACGCCGCUGAUGGAGCCACUGGCGGGGGCGAGUGGAUAAAUCGGAGUCCCUGAGCCAUCGACUACAGGUAAGGCCGGUAUCAUCCGCGGAAGGAACAGAUGAGGCGGCGGCAUCUGUACCCCAGAUGACCCACUAUCCGAAGAAGUAGGACCCGGAGUGGGCGCCCGGUGUAUCUCAGGCAUACGGGGUGCAGACACCUCCGUCUGGGUCUGAGGCCACAGCUGCCUCGAGGAACGAGGGACGGCCGCCUGCCUCGAUGAAAGGGGCACCUCCGGCUGCCUUUGCAUCGUCUCCAGAAGGCUCGCACGUCUGGCUGUCAUCUGGCCCUGAAACGUCGUUUGGGGGUUGCUAGAGGUUCCCUCAGACGAUUCGGACCUUUGGCCCUUCGAACUCUUCUUCGAUCUAAAAUAGCCGCUCAUCCUAUUUAAAAUAUUAAUUUGAAUCAAGGCUGAGGUAACAUUGAAAAAGUAAAAUUCAAUCUUAUCCUUCUCAAAUCUAAGGCUUUAGAUUAUUUUGUCUUUAUUCUAUAAAAAAUAUUUUUGAAACCAUAUUUUUUCAUUAUGUUCAUGCUUAAAUUUAAACACUUAAUAUAAUGUGAAAUAUAUAUAUGUUUAAAAUUAUACUUAUUCAAAAAUAUGAAUUCAAUAAAAUAUAUAUAUAUAUAUUCAUCCGGAUUUGAUAUAAGUUUUUCUAUUUUGUAUUUUGUAUCUUAUGUUUAAAAAUUUGUACCCUGCCCACGAUAAAACCAGUACCUAUAAUUAAUAAUAAAGGGAGAGGGAGGGAGGAGGUGGAGACCGGGAGAGGGAGGGAGGGAGGAGGGAGGAGACCGGGACCGGGAGAGGGAGGGAGGGAACGGGAGGAAGCGGAAACGGGAGAGGGAGGGAGGAGGGAGGAGGGAGGAGGGAGGAGGGAGGAGACCGGGACCAGCAGAGGGAGGGAGGGAGGAGGGAGGAGGCUAGGGUUUCGCAGUUAAACUCGAAAACUUUAGCCGACGAAUUAAUUAUUUCGUCGGCUAAAGCUACGAAUUUCGUCGGCUAUACAUCAAUUCGUCGGCUAAACCUUCUAAAUUCGUCGGCUAAAACUUUGAAAUUCGUCGGCUAAACUUUAUAAAUUCGUCGACUAAACCUUUGAAAUUCGUCGGCUAACCUUUGAAAUUCGUCGGCUAAAAGUAUUUUUAUACAUUUGGCACAUUGUGAUUGUGAUGAUCAAACUUGAGAAAAAUAAAUCCGACCGUCUGAUCUGACCAUCAUGAC